GACGAACGCUGGCGGCGUGCCUAAUACAUGCAAGUCGAACGCUUCUUUCCUCCCGAGUGCUUGCACUCAAUUGGAAGGAGGAGUGGCGGACGGGUGAGUAACACGCGGGUAACCUACCCAUCAGAGGGGGAUAACACUUGGAAACAGGUGCUAAUACCGCAUAACAGUUUAUGCCGCAUGGCAUAAGAGUGAAAGGCGCUUUCGGGUGUCGUUGAUGGAUGGACCCGCGGUGCAUUAGCUAGUUGGUGAGGUAACGGCUCACCAAGGCCACGAUGCAUAGCCGACCUGAGAGGGUGAUCGGCCACACUGGGACUGAGACACGGCCCAGACUCCUACGGGAGGCAGCAGUAGGGAAUCUUCGGCAAUGGACGAAAGUCUGACCGAGCAACGCCGCGUGAGUGAAGAAGGUUUUCGGAUCGUAAAACUCUGUUGUUAGAGAAGAACAAGGACGUUAGUAACUGAACGUCCCCUGACGGUAUCUAACCAGAAAGCCACGGCUAACUACGUG
rnacentral:rRNA from 1 species